ACUAUUGACACUUAAGGUGUCAUUUGGUUGCUAUUUGCAUGGUAAACCUGUUUUUCAUUCUUUUAUUUUCAAGUCAGUUUUAUCUUAAUGUGAACUUAUUUUAUUUUUAUUUCUUUUUAGAGAGACAACAUAGAGUUGAAUCACUUAAAAAUUACUCUGCCAAUCUCUCCCUUUGAUUCAAGUGUGUAGUUCAUUUGCAUUUGAUGAAUUUACUGAUAAGAUAUUAUUUCCUUCUAUUUUUCGAUUUGUUUACUCUAUGUUUCAUAGUGAUGGUUAAUAAUGAGUGUCGACUUGAUUGGAUUGAAAGAUACAAAGUAUCGAUCCUGGGUAUAUCUGUGAGGGUGUUGCCAAAUGAGAUUAACAUUUGAGUCAGUGAGCUGGGGAAGGCAGAUCCACCUCAACCUAGUGGGCACAAUCUGAUAAUCUGCCAGCAAAUAUAAAGCAAAAGAAAAAUGUGAAAAAGAGAGACUGGCCUAGCCUUCCAACCUACAACUUUCUCCUAUGCUGAAUGCUUCCUGCCCUUGAACAUCAAACUCCAAGUUCUUUAGUUUUGGGACUCAAACUGGCUCUCCUUGCUCCUCAGCUUGCAGACAUCCUAUUUUGGGACUUUGUGAUCAUGAUGGUAUUGUUGGAUAUGAAGUUCUGGCUAACAGUUUUUGUUGUUGAUGUUGCUCAGCAAAUUGAAUAUGUUAUCCCACAGUCUUCUGGCCUCCAUGGUUUCUGAUGACAAGUAAGCUAUUCAUAUUAUUUAGGAUUUCUUGUAUGUAAUAAACUGCUUUUCUCUUGCAACUUUCAAGAUUCUCUCUCUCUCUCUUUUGGCUUUUGACAUAUUUUGACUACAGUGUGCCUAGGUGUGGAUCUGUUUGAAUAUAUGCUACUUGCAUGUGCCAAUUAACUUUUUUUAACCAAAUUUGGGAUGUUUUCCACUAUCAUUUCUCAUUAUUUUCCUUUUUCUUUUUUGUCUUUUUCAUUGUAUAUUUUCUUGUGCAUGAACAAUUUUUUUUUCAUUUUUUUUGGUGUGUGUUAAUCUCUCAUUAAAAAAUGGGUAUUUAAAAUAAUAUAACGUGGCAAAUCUAGAAAUUAGAUACCCCUCCCCUAACUCAAGGUUUAUUGCUUUUGUUGUAGUAGUUGCUGCUGCUGUUUCCUGGAACAAGUCUGGAAAGUUUGCAUUUUUUGGUCAUGUGUGGCCACUGAAUUAACUGCUAUGUUAGAUUAAGUAUCAACUAAUAAUCAGACAGAAAUUUCUUAAAAUGCCUUGAAUCAAUAUGUCCCCCAGCUUUUGCCAGGAUACUCUGUAUGUGGGUUGGGGCAUAUCUUCAAUUUCCUGUUAUGCUUUUACUUUCUCCUUGCAGAAAACCUCACUUCUAUUUGCUCAGUGUCUCAAAGUCAAUCAGAGGUGAAAGUUGAACCUUCUCAAGUCUUUCUUGGGCAUCUAUACAGCCCUGCAAAUGCUGGUAAUCUAUAUUCUCAGGACUAUGAUAGAGCUUUUUCAAGUUGCCUAAGAACAUCUCAAUUACUUUAAAUUUUUUUUCAGUUUUUCGUUAGUCUCAAGUUGAAUCAGUUUGAUUCAACACUGAAUCCAACUAAUGGAGCUGCAACAUUAAACAGUUACCACAGGUUGUUUUUGACAAAUGUUCUGGAGAUAUGGUUGCUCAGGCAUAGCAGGCUCUUAGUCACAUCAAAUAGAAAAAAACUCUGAGAAUUGACUUUUUCCAUUGAGCUUCCAGACAGUCUAAUUAUAAGCAUGCCUAGAGAUAUUGUAGGUUUGGCUUCAGAUUAUUGUAAUGAAGUAAAUAUUGCAGUAAAGUGAGUCACAUGAAUAUUUUUGCUUCCCAGGGCAUAUAAAAGUUAUGUUUACAGGCUGAGUGUAACAUAACAUUCAUGCCUAUAAUUGCAGCAUUUGGGAAGCCACAGAUCCCCCUCCUGUAAUUCUAGCACUUUAGGGAGGCUGAGGCAGAAGGAUUAUUUGAGCCCAGGAGUUCAAGACCAGCUUGAACAAUAUAGUAAGACCUCAUCUCUACAAAAAAUAAAAAAGUUAGGGGGGUAUGGUGGCACACACCUGUGGUCCCACCUAAUCAGGGGGGUGAGGUGGAAGGAUCAUUUCAGC
rnacentral:lncRNA from 1 species